rnacentral:rRNA from 1 species
AGAGUUUGAUUCUGGCUCAGAACGAACGCUGGCGGCAGGCCUAAUACAUGCAAGUCGAACGCCGUAGCAAUACGGAGUGGCAGACGGGUGAGUAACGCGUGGGAACAUACCCUUUGGUUCGGAAUAACUCAGGGAAACUUGAGCUAAUACCGGAUACGUCCAAGGUUUUAAUCGGCCUUGGAGAAAGAUUUAUCGCCGAAGGAUUGGCCCGCGUCUGAUUAGCUUGUUGGUGAGGUAAUGGCUCACCAAGGCGACGAUCAGUAGCUGGUCUGAGAGGAUGAUCAGCCACAUUGGGACUGAGACACGGCCCAAACUCCUACGGGAGGCAGCAGUAGGGAAUAUUGGACAAUGGGCGAAAGCCUGAUCCAGCCAUGCCGCGUGAGUGAUGAAGGCCUUAGGGUUGUAAAGCUCUUUUACCCGGGAAGAUAAUGACGGUACCGGGAGAAUAAGCCCCGGCUAACUUCGUGCCAGCAGCCGCGGUAAUACGAAGGGGGCUAGCGUUGUUCGGAUUUACUGGGCGUAAAGCGCACGUAGGCGGAUUCUUAAGUCAGGGGUGAAAUCCCGAGGCUCAACCUCGGAACUGCCUUUGAUACUGNNGAU